UACGAAGGGGGCUAGCGUUGCUCGGAAUCACUGGGCGUAAAGGGUGCGUAGGCGGGAUCUUAAGUCAGAGGUGAAAGCCUGGAGCUCAACUCCAGAACUGCCUUUGAUACUGGGAUUCUUGAGUUCGGGAGAGGUGAGCGGAACUGCGAGUGUAGAGGUGAAAUUCGUAGAUAUCCGGAGGAACACCGGUGGCGAAGGCGGCUUCCUGGACCGACACUGACGCUGAGGCGCGAAAGCUAGGGGAGCAAACGGG
rnacentral:rRNA from 1 species